rnacentral:rRNA from 1 species
AACGAACGCUGGCGGCAUGCCUAACACAUGCCAGUCGAACGAGACCUUCGGGUCUAGUGGCGCACGGGUGCGUAAUGCGUGGGAACCUGCCCUUAGGUUCGGAAUAACUCCCCGAAAGGGGUGCUAAUACCGGAUAAUGUCUUCGGACCAAAGAUUUAUCGCCUUUGGAUGGGCCCGCGUUGGAUUAGCUAGUUGGUAGGGUAAAAGCCUACCAAGGCGACGAUCCAUAGCUGGUCUGAGAGGAUGAUCAGCCACACUGGGACUGAGACACGGCCCAGACUCCUACGGGAGGCAGCAGUGGGGAAUAUUGGACAAUGGGCGAAAGCCUGAUCCAGCAAUGCCGCGUGAGUGAUGAAGGCCUUAGGGUUGUAAAGCUCUUUUACCCGGGAUGAUAAUGACAGUACCGGGAGAAUAAGCUCCGGCUAACUCCGUG